rnacentral:lncRNA from 1 species
GUGCAGCUUCGGACCCAAGUACAUGGUUGGAACUUUCAUUGUACAAUGCAUUUGGUUCUGCUUUGAAAAGAAUUACAGAGCUGAGUCUAUGUACCAUAUUAUAUAAAAGGUUAAGUGGUUGUUAGGACCUAGUCCGUAAUUGAGAUCCUUGUCAGAUAUUCCUGGCCAUAUGUUUUCCUUUUUGUCAUAUUAAGAAUUGUUUUAAUUUAAUAUGUUCGUACGGAAAACAAGGAACAUUAUUCUCAUACAAAAAAUUAAGAUAAUUCUAAAUACACAUUCAUAAAAAGAAUGGAAUUUAUUACAAAGGAUAAUCAUAAGAUAUACUUGAAUUGUCCUGGACCUCACUUCUGUGAUGGGUAUAUGUUAAUGGAAUCCUUCUCUGAAUACGGGACAAACAUAUUAGUAGUGGUAGACCCCAAUGGCCAAUGAUCUUCAAUUUAUACCGAAUAUUGACUGUCAAAAAAAAAUGCUAACAUUCCAAUUUUCAAUAACAGUUAACAGCAAAUACAUUAUCACAAUAACAGAUAACAAAAAAACUAAAAGCCCAAUAACAGCUAACAAAGAAUAAGACAAUAACAGCUAACAGCAAAUAUAUUUUCAAAAUAACAGUUAACAAAGAAUUAAAUUGCCCCAUAACAGCAUAACAGUUAAACCCCUUGCCCCCCCUC